CUUCAGACCCUUCACAGCUUCACUGCCCUUCUCUGGAUGUGCUCUGGUUCCUCGAUGCCUUUCUUGUAGCGAGGGGCCCAAAACUGAACACAGUACUUGAGGUGCAGCCUCACCAGUGCUGAGUACAGGGGGACAAUCACUUCCCUGCUCCUGCUGACAGCACUGUUUCUGAUACAAGCCAGGAUGCCUUUGGCCUUCUUGGCCCCCUGGGCCCACUGCUGGCUCACGUUCAGUCAAGCUUUGACCAAUAUCUCCAGGUCCAUUUCUACCACACAGUCCUCCAGCCACUCUGCCCCAAGCCUCAGCCCUGCGAUACAGCCUGUCCAGAUCCCUCUGUAGGGCCUUCCUACCCGCAGGCAGAUCAACGCUUCCUGCCAACUUGGUGUCAUCUGCAAACUCACUGAGAGUGCACUCAGUGCCCUCAUCCAGGUCAUCAAUAAAGAUACUGAACAGGACAGCCCCAACUUUACCUCAGUUUCAAAAAAAAAAAAAAAAAAAACAACUCUUGAAAGGCUUUGGAGAUUCUGGUUAAGCAUAACACCCUAUCAGAAAAGGCUAUAAAUGAAAUGAAAGCACAGUUACGUUGUAUUUCACAUCAUCUAUGAAAACUUAGGAUGAACCAGUGUAACAGCAGAUGGGUCUGGAUAGAGCCCUGAUGUUGGACUUUCAGAGUAAGUACCAAAGCUUAGCAAGUACUCUGUGACAGAAGCAACAAGUGGUGCAGCUUCCCAGCAGUGGAGUGCCACAGUCACAUUACACUGAAGUCUUCACCGGACUCUGCCUGACCAUCCAGCUGCUGCACCUGAGAGGUGAAAUGAAGAGUACACGAGUGUUGACUUACAUGGGUUUUGCCCAGUGCCUGCUUUCAUCCACAACCAGUCGAGGGUAGACUUGAUGUUCAACUGCUGCUUUACUGGCAUCAAUACUGAAGCUGUCUGCAGAAUGCCUGGAUCAGCACGCCCUUCAGCAGCCCACCCAGUGGGCCUUCAGGAAGGACCAUGCAGCCGAGACCUGAAUCCACUCUAAUGGUCUACUGUGAAGCAAAUGUGUGAGUCAGUGUCAUCAGCGUGGUAUCUUCAGGGGGGUACACUCGGUCUCUGCUUAGGUUUUGCAACCUAACGCCAAGUCCUCGAGUGGCAGAAGGAAGUGUGGGACUUCCUAGCACUGCCGGUAAAAGGAUUCUACAAGGGAUAUGUGCCAGAGAGUAUGUACAGAAGUGAAACAAAUAGAGGUGAAACAAACAGACUGUCUCAGAGUCUGAGACAGACUCUUAGAAGCUGUGAAAAAUUGCAGUUGAAUUACUCACCCUAGACAAGGCAAGGGAUAGGAAGUCUGCUGUCCCACAAGAGACCGAAGAUGUUGGCUGGGAGUGGGGGGAGGUGCCUCUAGGAAAGAGAUACAGGCUGUCCAUUUCUAAUUCUGGGAAUUAGAAUAAAUAUAAUAAAUAUUCCUGAAAUAAAAAUCCAGAAAUAAAAUAUUCCUGGGAAAAAAAAAAAAAAGAAAAAAAGAAAGAAAGAAAAAAGAUAUUCUGGAAUGUUUGUUGGGCUUUUUUUGGUAUGGAGCUACAGCAGAGUGAAGUCACUUGUGGUUAUUUUGGCUUAGCUACAAGGCAGUUGCUGGGAAGCAUAUGUCCACCAAGGGGGCCAGUAUCAGAACAGUUUCUGCUCCACCCAAUAUCAUUCACUGGCCCAUUCCAGAGUUAUUUUCAGGGAAGACAAUAUUCACCACGCUGAGGCACCAACCUUUUUUUUAUGGCAAUGUAGGAAGACAACAGAAGGCGGGGGAUGGCUCCCUCUCUCAAAAGGGAAAUACCCAGCAGCUGGAACUGGACAAGAUACUGAGACGCUCCGUAGUGUGCUGCUUCGCCGGCUGUUGUUGGCUUUCCAGAAGGGGGAAGAGCUUUUAGCACCUUUAGCCCUGCUUUUCCAGUCUACCUGGCAUAGCCCAUCCUUCAGCAGUCAGGCCACCAGAAAAUCCUGCCAAGAUUAGAGUCUAGAAAUAAAGAAUGAAGGAAGUCCCUAAAACUAUGCAGUGCAUUGAAUGGGUCUGACUGAGCUUACAGUUCUUGGAGUAACUCCUGUUGUGCUGUAUGUGCUGUGAAUCUAUUAAGACAUUGGUAUCUUCAAGGUAUAUUCACUUACGUCUCAUUCCUAACCAGCUAUACCUAGUUUCUUCCUGUGAGUUUCUCAUGCAGGUCCAGUUGCCAGAUCCUACUUGUGUUUGUCUGCCAGUCCAAUGUGUUCUGUGCCUGAGGAAUCAGCCUCCAAUUCUGUGGGAGCGGCGUGGCAUGGAAAUUAAUGGAGCUUAAGUAAACAUCAGCAGAAUAAAACCUUAAGCUUCAGUUUAGAGGGCUGGAGCACCUCCCCUAUGAAGACAGGCUGAGGGAGCUGGGCUUGUUCAGUCUGGAGGAAGAGAAGGCUGUGGGGUGACCUCAUUGCAGCCUUCCAGUACCUGAAGGGAGCCUAUAAACAGGAGGGGAGCCAACUCUUUGAAAGGCUAGAUAACAGCAGGACAAGGGAAAUGGUUUUAAGUUGAAGGGGGAAGAUUUAGGUUGGAUAUAAGGGGAAGUUCUCUACCAAGAGAGUGGUGAGGUGCUGGCACAGGCUGCCCAGAGAGGUUGUGAAUGCCCCGUCCCUGGAGGUGUUCAAGGCCAGGUUGGAUGGGGCCCUGGGCAGCCUGGUCUUCUAUUAAAUGAGGAGGUUGGCGGCCCUGCAUGCAGCAGGGGGUUGGAGCUUCAUGAUCCUUGAGGUCCCUUCCAACCCAGGCCAUUCCGUGAUUCUGUGAUUCUAUGAUUUAGUUAAACUAACCAAAGGGCAUGGUGGAACAGAACGCCUUAAUACUCUGCAGUACCCUUAAGUGUUUAAAAA
ensembl:lncRNA